rnacentral:rRNA from 1 species
AUGCAAGUCGACGGCAGCACGGGGGCAACCCUGGUGGCGAGUGGCGAACGGGUGAGUAACAUAUCGGAACAUAUCCGGAAGUGGGGGAUAACGUACCGAAAGGUACGCUAAUACCGCAUAUGCCCUGAGGGGGAAAGGAGGGGAUCGCAAGACCUUUCGCUUUCGGAGUGGCCGAUAUCGGAUUAGCUAGUUGGUGAGGUAAAGGCUCACCAAGGCGACGAUCCGUAGCUGGUCUGAGAGGACGACCAGCCACACUGGAACUGAGACACGGUCCAGACUCCUACGGGAGGCAGCAGUGGGGAAUUUUGGACAAUGGGGGCAACCCUGAUCCAGCCAUGCCGCGUGAGUGAAGAAGGCCUUCGGGUUGUAAAGCUCUUUCAGACGGAAAGAAACGGUCACGGCCAACACCCGUGACUAAUGACGGUACCGUCAGAAGAAGCACCGGCUAACUACGUGCCAGCAGCCGCGGUAAUACGUAGGGUGCGAGCGUUAAUCGGAAUUACUGGGCGUAAAGCGUGCGCAGGCGGUUUUGUAAGACAGACGUGAAAUCCCCGGGCUUAACCUGGGAACUGCGUUUGUGACUGCAAGACUAGAGUGUAGCAGAGGGGGGUAGAAUUCCACGUGUAGCAGUGAAAUGCGUAGAUAUGUGGAGGAAUACCGAUGGCGAAGGCAGCCCCCUGGGCUAACACUGACGCUCAUGCACGAAAGCGUGGGGAGCAAACAGGAUUAGAUACCCUGGUAGUCCACGCCCUAAACGAUGUCAACUAGGUGUUGGGGAAGGAGACUUCUUUAGUACCGCAGCUAACGCGAUAAGUUUGACCGCCUGGGGAGUACGGUCGCAAGAAUAAAACUCAAAGGAAUUGACGGGGACCCGCACAAGCGGUGGAUUAUGUGGAUUAUUCGAUGCAACGCGAAAAACCUUACCUACCCUUGACAUGUCAGGAAGAUACCAGAGUAUGGUAUUGUGC